ACCGUCUGCUGCGGUGCGGAUUCGUCGGCAGGUUCCGCUUGAGCGUAAAUCACGGCCACUACAGCAGCCAGCACUAUAAUGUACUUCAUCUAAAAGAGAUAUAAGGACAGCUGUCAGAAAGGAACUAAAAAAAGAAGACGAAAAAUAAAAUAAGAGAAUCACGAGAAACAUGCCCUAUGUAGAAAAAUUUAGCCUACAUAUUUUACACGAAAUUACACGUACAACUUUAUAUAAUUACAACGUGUCUUAAAAAAUGCGUCGAGCGGUACCCGCUUUAAAUGAAGAACGAGGAGAGAGAUUGAUUAAGUUGGAAAAAGCACAAUGGAUCAAGGAACAGAGGCAACGCGAAGCUGAGGAACAUGCUCAAAAAUUGAGGAGAGAACAUAUGAUGCGCGAAAUCGAGCUCGGUGCUUUAAAUACAAAGCGUUACCGUACAUUAUGGCGAGAGAUGAUGAUGAGAAUUAAAAUGCCGCAGAUCGCGGAGGAUGUGGAAAUUGCGUGGCGUAACUUCGAUCGAGCUCUCGACAUCAAGGACUACAGGAUAAGUUUUUUGAUGGACGAGUUUGCCGAGAGCGAAGAGCAAUAUCAAAGAAAUAUAAGAUCACACACUGAAAUCAUAGAUCGAUUGUUGGGAACGUACAUGGAGAGAAUGCAACGCGAAGAAAGGAAUUAUCGAAAAACCUUAAACGAGACGCUUGAGCAGACGGACGUUGAGGUCGGCAAAAUCUAUCAUCGGCAGAACGAAGACGAAAUCUUGUUGCAAUUAAUCACUCACGGUGUUCAGCAACAACUAGAAGAAUCAUUAAACAAUGCCAAGAGCAUUGUAUUAGGCAAGAUCGAUGCAUUCGUGGAAGACAGUAAGGAUAUUCGCAGAAUUUCUGCGGCUCAACUUGAAAAUCAAUUGCGAAGCUUCUGGGAAGAUCUGCGACGGGUUCUAUCAGAUUAUCAAAAUAAAACGAAGGAUCGUCAAAAAUAUUACGAGGCACUCAAAGAGAAAGACGAAAAGGAUCAGCAAGUGAUCGCACAACAAUUGUUACGAACAACGAAUCUUUUCGAAGAGAUACGAAAGUUUCGAGGCAAAAUAGCAACGUACGAUGCUUCGGCUAAAACAGAAACUUCUGAAAUUUUGGAUGAACAUAAUUUCUUCCAGAAAGCUUACUGGACUGUGAAAACCCGUUUUAUUUCAGAACAGACGAAAGACAAAGACCAAUUGAAGAUAUUGUCGAUUGAAUACAACAAGACGAUAAAACAUUUAAAAGAUCUUGCGACGAAAGGUAAACGAUUGCUCGCGCUCAUGCAAAUCUGUAGCAAGUAUGAAACGCAACGUGAAAAAAUAAUUCCGUUUCCUGGUCAUACGAAGCUGGAGAACUCAUCACCUCCUUUAUCAGAUCAGACUAUACCAGAUUGGGAUAUAUCCCGCCAGGUUAAUUUCACCAUAAAAAAUUUUUUGAGAUAGUAUAGAAUUUUUAAGAAAUAUUUGGAAUGUAGAUUGAAGAUUUUCAAGAUCUAACAAAUUUCUGGCGACGACUUGGCUCCGCGCAAAUAAUCACUAUGCAAUUGCGAUCGGAAAAGGACAGAUUAAAGGACGAGGCAAAUCGUCUACGUGAAUAUAUCAGAUCUUAUAUAAUGCAAGAAGUGCAAAUUCAAUGAUCUGCAACUUACAUCACUUAUCUACAACCUUAUUUAUCUCAUUUCUUCAAGAUAUUGAUCUGUAAUUAUUAGAACUUAUGUGAAACGUAAUCAGUAUUCAGUGUAAUAAAAUAAAAUAAACGAUUAUA